rnacentral:rRNA from 1 species
CGGCGUGGAUUAGGCAUGCAAGUCGAGCGAGAAGUCUUAGAUUGAAGCUUCGGCCGAGUUUCUAAGAUGGACAGCGGCGAAAGGGAGAGUAACGCGUGGGUUAUCUACCUCCGGGUUCGGGAUAGCUGCGGGAAACUGCAGGUAAUACCGUAUAACGUCUUUGGACCAAAGGUGUGAUUCCGCCUGGAGAUGAGCCCGCGUCCUAUUAGCUUGUUGGUGAGGUAACGGCUCACCAAGGCUUCUAUGGGUACCGGGUGUGAGAGCAUGGCCCGGCUCACUGGGACUGAGACACUGCCCAGACACCUACGGGUGGCUGCAGUCGAGAAUCUUCCGCAAUGGGCGCAAGCCUGACGGAGCGACGCCGCGUGCGGGAUUAAGGCCUUCGGGUUGUAAACCGCUGUCAGAGAGGCGGAAAUGCGUAGGGGCUAUCCCCUAUGUUUGACCUAAUCUCAGAGGAAGUGCAGGCUAAGUUCGUG